ACCGUUAUGUUACUGUUCAAAGGCUUUAAUCAAACACAGUUAAUUGUUUCAGAAGUUCUACACCAAUUUUUUUGUCUGUAAUAAUUCUUUUUCUCCCCUCCCUUUACGAACCGCAAACAACCAAAGUAUAAUAUAUAGGCCUAUAUUUGGUUGGUAGAAUACCAUGGCGAUCAAUGCUCAGAGGACCCAGUCUGAGGACCUACUCAUCACC
rnacentral:lncRNA from 1 species